UGGGGAAUUUUGCACAAUGGGGGAAACCCUGAUGCAGCGACGCCGCGUGAUUUAGAAGGCCUUCGGGUUGUAAAAAUCUUUUCUAUGGGAAGAAAAUGACAGCACCAUAGGAAUAAGGACCGGCUAAUUACGUGCCAGCAGCCGCGGUAAUACGUAAGGUCCGAGCGUUGUCCGGAAUCAUUGGGCGUAAAGGGUACGUAGGCGGGUAAGCAAGUUAGAAGUGAAAUCCUAUAGCUCAACUAUAGUAAGCUUUUAAAACUGCUCAUCUUGAGGUAUGGAAGGGAAAGUGGAAUUCCUAGUGUAGCGGUGAAAUGCGCAGAUAUUAGGAUGAAUACCGGUGGCGAAGGCGACUUUCUGGCCAUAACCUGACGCUGAGGUACGAAAGCGUGGGUAGCAAACAGG
rnacentral:rRNA from 1 species